CACCCACUACUCUUCGUGUGCAGCAACGCUUCCGUGUCUUCCCCGUUUAACCCUUUCUUUCUCCCCGGCCGGCAGUACGUAGGCCGAGAAACUGCUAGCCUCUCCGUAGCUAGCCUUGCUAGCUAGGUGUGUGUGUGUGUGUACGUACCUACCUGCAGGUUCCAAGAGAGAGGGCCGAGAGAGAGAGACAUGGGUAGCUUGGGAUCCGAGGUCGACCAUGGCGGCAGGGAGAUGUUCCAUGGCCACGCCGACCCCGUCGUCGACGAGCUCAACAGGCUGGAGAAUCUCCUCAGAGAAAAGGAACGAGAACUAGGACACACACACAGUGAAAUAAAAGGUUUGAAGGUGACAGAAGCUCUGAAGGACAAGGCCAUUGCUGAGCUGAGCAAGGAGCUGAAGAAACAGGACGAGAAGCUGAGCAUCCUGGAGAAGCAGCUUGAACAGAAGAAUCUGGAUGUGAAAAGGUUAUGCAAUGAGCGCAAGGAAGCGUUGUCUGCACAGUUCGCUGCUGAGGCAUCGCUCAGGAGGAUCCACUCGGCCCAGAGAGAUGAGGAAGUGGUUCCCUUUGAUGCCAUCAUAGGGCCCCUGGAGUCUGACAUCAAGAAGUACAAGCAUGAGAUUGCGGUGCUCCAGGAUGACAAAAAGGCGCUUGAACGGCACCUGAAGCUCAAUGAGGCGGCGUUCGUUGAGGCUGGGGACAUUCUGCGUAGCGCACUCGAGAGAGCGCUGAUUGUAGAGGAUGUCCAGAACCAGAAUAUUGAGCUGAAGAAACAGAUGGAGAUCUACCACGAGGAGAACAUGCUUUUGGAGAAGAGCAACAGGCAGAAGGUCCUGGAAAUUGAGAAGCUCACCCACACCGUUGGUGAGCUUGAGGAGUCCAUUCUUGCCAGCAGAGACGUUGCCAACGCUGUGCACUUCUACCAGAACCAGACUACCAGAUUGAAUGAGGAGAAGAAGACGCUCGAGAGGGAGCUGGCUCGAGCUAAAGUCUACGUCAACCGUGUGGCGACAACAACAGCAAACGAAUGGAAGGACGAUGCUGAUAAAUUGAUGCCGGUUAAGAGGUGGCUGGAAGAACGAAGACUCCUGCAGGGAGAGAUACAACGGCUGCGCGACAAGAUAGCCAUAGCAGAGAGGUCUGCAAAGGUGGAAGCCCAACUUAAUGAUAAACUCAAAAGGAGACUGAAAUCUUUGGAAGAGGACAUGAGAAAUGGAAAGCCCAACACACCUGCCAGUGAUGCCAAUAGGAGAGGCACUCCGAAAAGAUCAACAUCUCAACCAAGACAGCCAAGCACACCCAGAAUGUCACAGCAACUGGCUUCAUUCGAAGGCAUUGUUGACAAGAGAAGACCAACAUCCCAACCAAGGGCGGCUGUGGGAGGGAAGGUGCUGAAGCAACCUAAUUCGGACACCGAGCCUGCAGAGAAGACGAGAAACAUUAAACAACCUGACAGCCCAAGAGUGAGAACUGCUGCUGCUAGAAAGGAGCGUCCUGUGAGAAAUCACCUGUGGGCGACAAGAAGUAAAGUGACCAGCGAUGCUGGCAAAGAGAACAAGGAGCAGAAUCCAAAUUACAAGCCACAUUCAAGCGCUCCACAUGAGCAGGGACAUGAUGCCACAAAGCCACAAGCUGUAGUAUUUGAUGCGAAUGGAGACUGUGGAGUUCAGCGCAGUGAACAUCACAAAGACAUGGAUUUGGAGAACUUGGAUGACAAAAAGGCGGAUGCUUCGAAUGCAGAGAGUACUCAGGGUGGCAACAGGGGAAACUAAGGAAUUUCGUUUGCAAGAGGAAGCCAAAUACAAGGGUGAAAACAGUUAUCAUGUACUGGUGCAACAUGGUAAUUUAUUUCUAAGAACAUGUAUGCCUCUCUGCAAUAUUCUUCAACUUGGGAGAUUGUUUGAACAACAAAACCAGCAGGCUAUGUUGUUCCGUUUCUUUAUUCUCGCUUGUACAGCAAAGCAAUUUGUGCCUAUAAAAAAAUACAAAUGCAGUUUGUGGUGUUUUGAGGAAAGGCUGUUUAAAAUAAGAAGGUUGGUGCUGAUGUAAUGGGACUGGGAACAAUACAAAAAGAAGGGAUGUUUGUGUCUCUACUUUGAUUUGAAUCUAUGUUCUAUAACUACUAUGGUUGUUUCCAUUUUCCGUCCCUUUAUUCAUGUAAAAGAUCAGUCCAUCACUGUCCCUUAUGACGCUGGAUUUGAAUGUAUAUUGUAGAUUUGUAGUCAGAGAUUCUUGUGGAAUUUCUCUGUUUCAUA